rnacentral:rRNA from 1 species
AAACUUAAAUGAAUUGACGGGGCCCGCACAAGCGGUGGAGCAUGUGGGUUAAUCGGAUGAUACGCCGAGAACCUUACCAGGGCUUGACAUGGCCGGGACCGCCUACGAAAGUAGGUUUCCUCAGCAAUGAGGCCGGGUCACAGGUGGUGCAUGGUUGUCGUCAGCUCGUGUCGUGAGAUGUUGGGUUAAGUCCCGCAACGAGCGCAACCCUUGUCUUUAGUUGCCAUCAUUAAGUUGGGCACUCUAAAGAGACUGCCGGUGUCAAACCGGAGGAAGGUGGGGAUGACGUCAAGUCCUCAUGGCCUUUAUGACCAGGGCUACACACGUACUACAAUGGCAGGUACAAAGGGCAGCCACUUAGCGAUAAGGCGCGAAUCCCGUAAAACCUGUCUCAGUCCGGAUUGGAGUCUGCAACUCGACUCCAUGAAGUUGGAAUCGCUAGUAAUCGCAGAUCAGCACGCUGCGGUGAAUACGUUCCCGGGCCUU